GAUGAACGCUGGCGGCGCGCCUAAUACAUGCAAGUCGAGCGAACGGACGAGAAGCUUGCUUCUCUGAUGUUAGCGGCGGACGGGUGAGUAACACGUGGAUAACCUACCUAUAAGACUGGGAUAACUUCGGGAAACCGGAGCUAAUACCGGAUAAUAUUUUGAACCGCAUGGUUCAAAAGUGAAAGACGGUCUUGCUGUCACUUAUAGAUGGAUCCGCGCUGCAUUAUCUAGUUGGUAAGGUAACGGCUUACCAAGGCAACGAUGCAUAGCCGACCUGAGAGGGUGAUCAGCCACACUGGAACUGAGACACGGUCCAGACUCCUACGGGAGGCAGCAGUAGGGAAUCUUCCGCAAUGGGCGAAAGCCUGACGGAGCAACGCCGCGUGAGUGAUGAAGGUCUUCGGAUCGUAAAACUCUGUUAUUAGGGAAGAACAUAUGUGUAAGUAACUGUGCACAUCUUGACGGUACCUAAUCAGAAAGCCACGGCUAACUACGUG
rnacentral:rRNA from 1 species